UACGUAGGGUGCGAGCGUUAAUCGGAAUUACUGGGCGUAAAGGGCGCGUAGGCGGCCUGUUAAGUCGAACGUGAAAUCCCCGGGCUCAACCCGGGAACUGCGUCCGAUACUGGCAGGCUCGAAUCCGGGAGAGGGAUGCGGAAUUCCAGGUGUAGCGGUGAAAUGCGUAGAUAUCGGGAGGAACACCAGUGGCGAAGGCGGCUCACUGGUCCGGUACUGACGCUGAGGUGCGAAAGCGUGGGGAGCAAACAGG
rnacentral:rRNA from 1 species